rnacentral:rRNA from 1 species
GUCCACGCCCUAAACGAUGCAGAUUUGCUGUUUCGAGUAUCGACCCUCGGAGUGGCGUAGCUAACGUGUUAAAUCUGCCGCCUGGGAAGUACGAUCGCAAGAUUAAAACUCAAAGGAAUAGACGGGGACUCGCACAAGCGGUGGAACAUGAGGUUUAAUUCGACAAUGAACGAAGAACCUCACCAGGGCUUGAAAUCCUAGUGGAAAGCCGGUAGAAACAUUGGCCCUCCGCAAGGACCAUUAGGACAGGUGCUGCACGGUUGUCGU